rnacentral:lncRNA from 1 species
AAACAAUAAUAUAAAACAAAAUAAUAAAAAAAAAAAAAAAAAUAUAUAACAUAAUGUAGCUAAGUAUGGCUAAGUAUGGCUAAGUAUGGCUAAGCACGAUUAAGUAUGAUAAAGUAUAACGAAAUAAUUAUAAAAUUUGCAAUACCGCAAAACAAAAACUUUUAUUAACUUAUUUAUUUACUUGUUUAUAUGUUUUCUUGUUUACUUGUUUGUAUGUUUACUUGUUUAUACAUUUAUUUAUAUAUACUUAAUUCAAAAAAAUUUUUUUACUCGCCAAUUUUGAACCAAUGAAAGGCUGUGAAAAUGAUGAUAUAAAUUCCUUAAAGCUAGGAUGGUGCGAAAUGCUGAAAGGUGGUGUUAUAAUGGAUGUAAAAAAUAUAGAGCAAGCCAAAAUAGCAGAAGAAGCAGGAGCUAUAGGUGUUAUGGUUUUGGAAAAUAUUCCAUCAGAGCUUCGUAACAAUGAAGGUGUAGCCAGAACCGUUGAUCCAGGGAAAAUAGAAGAAAUUAAAAAACAUGUUUCUAUAAACGUUUUAGCAAAAGUAAGGAUAGGUCAUUUUGUCGAAGCACAAAUAUUAGAAAAAUUAAACAUAGAUAUGAUUGAUGAAAGUGAAGUGUUAACUAUAGCUGAUGAACAGAAUCAUAUCAAUAAACAUAAUUUUAAGACGCCUUUUGUAUGUGGUUGUACUAAUUUAGGAGAAGCAUUAAGACGAAUAUCUGAAGGUGCAUCAAUGAUUAGAACGAAAGGUGAAGCUGGAACAGGUAAUAUACUUCAAGCUGUUAGACAUAUAAGAACGUUAAAUAAUGAAAUUAACUACUUAUGUUCUUUAAAUGAUAGUGAAGUGUAUAAUUAUGCUAAAAAAAUUGGUGCACCUGUUGAACUUUUACAACAAACCAGAAAGUUAAAAAGACUACCUGUUGUUAAUUUUGCUGCUGGUGGUGUUGCAACUCCAGCGGAUGCUGCCAUGUGUAUGCAAUUAGGUAUGGAUGGAGUGUUUGUGGGAUCUGGAGUGUUUGAAAGUGAAAAUCCUAAAAAAGUG